rnacentral:lncRNA from 1 species
UACCAGUACACCAUCUUUACUCCAGUCAUUCAAGGAUACACAGUUCUAUUCAAAGACAUUUACUGAAAUGGCAUGAUCACCUUGCCUAUAUUGAAAUUACCAAAUUGGAGAGAUCUUAAUUUCAUCCCUCAGCCAAAUAUACUACUCACACCCUCUGAAGUCACAUGAGGAUCCUCCUGAACCUUUCCCAAUAGAAGAGGGUCAUGGGAGGUGAAGAUAUGAAUCUGAGGAAGAGCUGGCACCCACAAACCUCCCAAAAUGUGGAGAAAAAGUAUGGAAGGCUGAGCUGAUGUGGAAUGGAAAAAGAUUGAGGAGCUGCAGUGGGAGCUUCAGGAAGAGAGGGCAAGGGAGGAGAUGCAAUGCUAUGCACAGGAUGUGAGAGCUGUCAAAAAAAAAAAAAGAAAAAAGAAAAUGAAAACUGGAAUGGAUGUACCGGGGGCU